rnacentral:rRNA from 1 species
AUGUCUUCCUCCAGCCAAAUCAUCUCCUCUGGCCUAAACAAUACAAUCUCAGAAGCUCUUACUCGCACAAACUAUGUUUUGUGGCGAGCCCAAGCCCGAUCUCAGAUCAUAGGGGCAGGUCUCUUCGGAUACCUUGAUCAAACAGUCCCAGAACCACCAGCCACCAUUACCUCCAAAAACGCAGAAGGAAAAGAUCAAACCAUACCAAACCCAGCCUACUCCGCCUGGUUGAUUCAAGAUCAACAGCUUGUGGCAUAUCUGCUCCGCAACCUCUCCAAAGAAGUCCUAGUACAGGUCGCUUCCCUAGAAAAAUCCCAUGCCAUCUGGUCUUCUCUCGCAAACAUGUUUGCGGCUCAAUCCAGAUCACGCGCCAACAAUUGCCGUGCUGCCCUUUCCAAUGCCCAAAAGGGCUCCCAAUCUGCCGCAGCCUACUUUGGUCAGAUGCGCGCGCUUGCAGACGAACUUGCCAUGGCUGGAAAGCCGCUUCUCGAGGGGGGGUUAAUCUCUUUCCUCAUCUCUGGCCUCGAUAUGGACUAUCAACCUCUUUAUAUCUGCAUUAGACGUCCGCACUAA